AAAAAAAAAAAUACCUUACACACGCGGGGCUGGGCCCGGCCUUGCUCCCACUAGAAGCGCCCGCCGGGGGGUGGGAUUCCCCCUUUAGGGUUGGAUCCGGGCUCAGGAGAAACGCUGGCGGCGCGCCUAACACAUGCAAGUCAAACGGAUCUCACAGAGCUUGCGGUGUUAAGCUUAGUGACUAACGGGUGAGUAACGCGUGAGUAACCUGCCCUAGAUCGCGGGACAACGAUUGUCAAUGACUGCUGAUACCGCAUAAGCCCACGGUACCGCAUGGCACUGAGGGAGAAGGAUUUAUUCGCUUUACGAUGGACUCGCGUCUAAUUAGCUAGUUGGUGAGGUAACGGCCCACCAAGGCUACGAUUGGUAGCCGGACUGAGAGGUUGAACGGCCACAUUGGGACUGAGACACGGCCCAGACUCCUACCGGAGGCAGCACUGGGGGAUCUUGCACAAUGGGGGAAACCCUGAUGCAGCGACGCCGCGUGGAGGAAGAAGGUUUUCGGAGUGUAGACUCCUGUCGUUAGGGACGAUAAUGACGGUACCUAUACGAGAAAGCACCGGCUAACUACGUGCCAUCAGCCUCGGUAAAACGUACGGUGCAAGCGUUGUCCGGAAUUACUGGGUGUAAAGGGAGCGCAGGCGGGAAGACAAGUUGGAAGUGAAAACCAUGGGCUCAACCCAUGAAUUGCUUUCAAAACUGUUUUUCUUGAGUAGUGCAGAGGUAGAUGGAAUUCCCGGUGUAGCGGUGGAAUGCGUAGAUAUCGGGAGGAACACCAGUGGCGAAGGCGGUCUACUGGGCACCAACUGACGCUGAGGCUCGAAAGCAUGGGUAGCAAACAGGAUUAGAUACCCUGGUAGUCCAUGCCGUAAACGAUGAUUACUAGGUGUUGGGGGAUUGACCCCCUCAGUGCCGCAGUUAACACAAUAAGUAAUCCACCUGGGGAGUACGACCGCAAGGUUGAAACUCAAAGGAAUUGACGGGGGCCCGCACAAGCAGUGGAGUAUGUGGUUUAAUUCGAAGCAACGCGAAGAACCUUACCAGGUCUUGACAUCCGAUGCAUAGCACAGAGAUGUGUGAAAUCCUUCGGGACAUCGAGACAGGUGGUGCAUGGUUGUCGUCAGCUCGUGUCGUGAGAUGUUGGGUUAAGUCCCGCAACGAGCGCAACCCUUAUUGCCAGUUACUACGUUAAGAGGACUCUGGCGAGACUGCCGUUGACAAAACGGAGGAAGGUGGGGAUGACGUCAAAUCAUCAUGCCCUUUAUGACCUGGGCUACACACGUACUACAAUGGCGUUAAACAAAGAGAAGCAAGACCGCGAGGUGGAGCAAAACUCAAAAACAACGUCUCAGUUCAGAUUGCAGGCUGCAACUCGCCUGCAUGAAGUCGGAAUUGCUAGUAAUCGCGGAUCAGCAUGCCGCGGUGAAUACGUUCCCGGGCCUUGCACACACCGCCCGUC
rnacentral:rRNA from 1 species